UAUAUGUAUAUGUAUAUGUAUAUGUAUAUGUAUAUGUAUAUGUAUAUGUAUAUGUAUAUGUAUAUGUAUAUGUAUAUGUAUAUGUAUAUGUAUAUGUAUAUGUAUAUGUAUAUGUACCAUGCAAUCCUUCCGUUUGAUCCCUACAUUGUUGUUUUAUAGGUCACUUCAAGAAAAUAGAAUGGCUGACAAAAUUCCAAAAGUGAUUGGCAUCACGUAGGCUCUUGUUCUCCUAUGAGUACAAAAGAGACACUUGAAUCAAUGCUUAUGGAUCUCUUUAUCUUUACUAGCCAUGAGUUCUGUUUCAAAUUGUUUCUCAGAUACCUUAGCAAGAAUGAACUGGUGGAGUCGAUUCCUCAUAUACUUGGCAACCUAUCCUACAUAGUUAAUGUCACAAACCAGAAAUGGAGUCCUGAUAGUAGCCGAAACAUUUCAGGAUGUAGAUAGCAUGUCAAUGAAGAAUUCUGCUUCAAGCAUGCUUAGUGGAAAGAAGCCUGCCCAAGCAGUGGUUAGUUUGGUUGGAUGCAUAUUUGAUGAGUUUUCUCUUAUUGCAUUUUCUGCUAUCAUUGGCACGGGAACUGGAGAUCACCUUAACACCUGGUGUUUUCAGAGCUGAGAAAAGUUGAGGUGCAACAAUGUUUGUGGCCUUUGCAUAGUCAGCCUGCUAGCAGCAGUGUGCAGCCAGCCGCUGGAUUUCAAUCAAAAAGGUGAUAGAAUUCAUGUGCUAUAGGCACCUGAAACACACAAAUGUGUCUUUGAUGGAGAUCGUGAGUGUUUCACAUGCAGACAAUAACCGAGUGCUAGCUUCUGCUAAAACACACAAAUUUGUCUCUGUUGGAAAUCAUGUGUUUUACUUGUAGCCAACAACCAAGUGCUGACUUCUGCUAAAACACAUGGUUGUAUGGUAGACAGACUCCUUUUCCUUCCUUAACUUCUACUGUUUUUCCUCCUUCAACUUCAAAACCGAGCAAUUUAUCUUCCUAAACUUUUCAAACCGUGAAUUUUACUUCCUUAUAGUGGUUUUGAAGACGGUUUU